GACGAACGCUGGCGGCGUGCUUAACACAUGCAAGUCGAACGGAAAGGCCCUGCUUUUGUGGGGUGCUCGAGUGGCGAACGGGUGAUUAACACGUGAGUAACCUGCCCUUUACUUUGGGAUAACUUCAGGAAACUGGGGCUAAUACCGGAUAGGAGCUCCUGCUGCAUGGUGGGGGUUGGAAAGUUUCGGCGGUUGGGGAUGGACUCGCGGCUUAUCAGCUUGUUGGUGGGGUAGUGGCUUACCAAGGCUUUGACGGGUAGCCGGCCUGAGAGGGUGACCGGCCAAAUUGGGACUGAGAUACGGCACAGACUCCUACGGGAGGCAGCAGUGGGGAAUAUUGCACAAUGGGCGGAAGCCUGAUGCAGCAACGCCGCGUGAGGGAUGACGGCCUUCGGGUUGUAAACCGCUUUCGCCUGUGACGAAGCGUGAGUGACGGUAAUGGGUAAAGAAGCACCGGCUAACUACGUG
rnacentral:rRNA from 1 species